rnacentral:rRNA from 1 species
UACGUAGGGUGCAAGCGUUGUCCGGAAUUAUUGGGCGUAAAGAGCUCGUAGGCGGUCUGUCGCGUCUGGUGUGAAAACUCAGGGCUUAACCCUGAGCUUGCAUCGGGUACGGGCAGACUAGAGUGCGGUAGGGGAGACUGGAAUUCCCGGUGUAGCGGUGAAAUGCGUAGAUAUCAGGAGGAACACCGGUGGCGAAGGCGGCUUUCUGGACAGACACCGACGCUGAGGCACGAAAGCUAGGGGAGCAAACAGG